rnacentral:rRNA from 1 species
CGGGGAAUAUUGGACAAUGGCCGAAAGCCUGAUCCAGCCAUGCCGCGUGUGUGAAGAAGGUCUUCGGAUUGUAAAGCACUUUAAGUUGGGAGGAAGGGCAUUAACCUAAUACGUUAGUGUUUUGACGUUACCGACAGAAUAAGCACCGGCUAACUCUGUGCCAGCAGCCGCGGUAAUACAGAGGGUGCAAGCGUUAAUCGGAAUUACUGGGCGUAAAGCGCGCGUAGGUGGUUUGUUAAGUUGGAUGUGAAAUCCCCGGGCUCAACCUGGGAACUGCAUUCAAAACUGACUGACUAGAGUAUGGUAGAGGGUGGUGGAAUUUCCUGUGUAGCGGUGAAAUGCGUAGAUAUAGGAAGGAACACCAGUGGCGAAGGCGACCACCUGGACUAAUACUGACACUGAGGUGCGAAAGCGUGGGGAGCAAACA